CCUACGGGAGGCAGCAGUGGGGAAUAUUGCGCAAUGGGCGAAAGCCUGACGCAGCGACGCCGCGUGAGGGAUGACGGCCUUCGGGUUGUAAACCUCUUUCAGCAGGGACGAAGCGAAAGUGACUGUACUUGCAGAAGAAGCGCCGGCUAACUACGUGCCAGCAGCCGCGGUAAU
rnacentral:rRNA from 1 species